rnacentral:tRNA from 1 species
GCCCGAGUGGCGGAAUUGGUAGACGCGCAUGAUUCAGGUUCAUGUGGCCGUUAAGGCCGUGGAGGUUCGAGUCCUCUCUCGGGCA